AUUAGUGGCGAACGGGUGAGUAACACGUGAGUAACCUGCCCUUGACUCUGGGAUAAGCACUGGAAACGGUGUCUAAUACCGGAUAUGACCAUCAGGUGCAUGUUUGAUGGUGGAAAGUUUUUCGGCUAGGGAUGGGCCCGCGGCCUAUCAGCUUGUUGGUGGGGUAAUGGCCCACCAAGGCGACGACGGGUAGCCGGCCUGAGAGGGCGAUCGGCCACACUGGGACUGAGACACGGCCCAGACUCCUACGGGAGGCAGCAGUGGGGAAUAUUGCGCAAUGGGCGAAAGCCUGACGCAGCGACGCCGCGUGAGGGAUGAAGGCCUUCGGGUUGUAAACCUCUUUCAGCAGGGACGAAGCGCAAGUGACGGUACCUGCAGAAGAAGCACCGGCCAACUACGUGCCAGCAGCCGCGGUAAUACGUAGGGUGCAAGCGUUGUCCGGAAUUAUUGGGCGUAAAGAGCUCGUAGGCGG
rnacentral:rRNA from 1 species